GCAGUGAGGAAUAGGCAGCACCACCAGCAGUAGGUGGGCAUGAUGUCAAUGUGUGGAACCUUCAAGAAUCUCAAAACAGUUGGUGAGUUACAUUUGAUAAGAUGCCAAGGGAUUGCUAAGCAUUGCUGGGAUUGUCUUGAUGCUUCUACACCAAUGUUCUCCUGGACAAACGUUUACAGAGAUAGCAUCUUCAUCUGACAUUUUAGAAAAUGAAACCAGGCUCUGUAUCAGAUGUGCAAUAUACUGAGCAUAAGGAAUGAGCUGAUUUGGGAACAAAAGAGAUGUUAGCAAGUUUUUGACAGAUCACAGGCCGAAUGCAGUGCAUAAACUAUGGUGAAUAGGAAGUGGCUUCAGCAAUAACUCACCCAGACUAAGGCCUUCAGCAGCUCUGGUCUAGGACUCCUGUCUCAAGCUCCUCCCUUGCCUUCCAGGAGCUUCUACUGCCUAGAA